AUUGCUUCUCAGCCUUUUGGCUAAGAUCAAGUGUAGUAUCUGUUCUUAUAAGUUUAAUAUCUGAUAUGUCCUCUAUCUGAGGAAAAUAUAUUAAAUGGAUUUUUGGAGCAGGGAGAUGGAAUAGGAGCUUGCUCCAUCCAUUCCACACACUGACCCCUAUUGCAGUACCUUUUGGAAAAGUUCACCAAAA